AAGCAUUCCAUUACGGAACUCAAUAAGCAACGGAACAUGCCCUAUAGCUGAAAAGAACUCAACAUGUGGAGAACGAGCGUAUCUCCUUGACUCCCCUUUAGACUCAUGGUUAAGCUGUCAAUCAUACAAAGGUCCAAAAGUCACCGCUUCUUCUCUCUAAGACAACAAACAAGCAGUGAGAUUACUUUUUGAAUAUGAGAAUAUAGUAUUAGUAAGACUGUAACUCCAACAAGCAAUAGCGCAAAAAUGAGCAAGCAAGAUAAGAUUCAGUAUAAAGAUCCUCAGCAGAAGAAUUGCCUGUUCAAGGUCUCAGUCUCAACUCUAAAGUGUCAAGUGGGGGGAGUUCCAGAAGCCUAAUAUCCUCUCUUUUCUCGUGCAUAAGUAGAAAGUGAGUCAACAACAAUCGGUUCUUCAAGUCGAAUUCACCCUUCUGCUAUAACACUUAUUGAAAUCAAGUAAGCUGCAAGUUCAGUUGAGUUCUUAGUUUCAGCUUGUCCCGGUAUAGCUCGCAGGUUUAGUAGGGUGGAAAGUGGAGUCUAAGUUCUUGGCUUUCACGAGUAGAGUAGUGGUCGGUAUGCCAUUAGUGGUGGUCGGUAUGCCAUUAGCAGAGUAACACAGAGAACAGGUCUAGAGACGAUCAAUCUGGUGUUCAAACCUUAUUUGCUCUUGACUUCUUAUGCGCUAAGUACUUCAGCGGUUGAGUAAUAGUCUCCUUGUGUGCGAGGAUAUAUGGAAAAAGUCAUUAAUAACAGAAGUAUAAGUAAACGAGGAUAUAUAGAAAACUAAGUCAAGUAAUCAAACAAAAAGGCAGUAAAGGCGGCUUAGGAAGAAGUUGUAUUAGCCCGAGAGGCAAUAGCUGGGGAAUAAUCCAAAGGAAAGUCAGCCUUAUCGGUUAGGUAGUAAUUCCUUGCUAGCGGCGAUAUUAGUCUUAUAGUUAACAGUGGGAUCCCUUUUCUUUUGUGUCAACUCUCUACUCCUUUAUUGAUAAUGGCAAGUAAGGAGAGCAGACCUGGGUUCGUAUCUAAGGGAACGAAAGCCAUUAAAGUCAUACUGAUAGAUGGGAGAGUCAUACUUUACCUAAGGAGUGUGAGGCUGGAGUCGCGUACACAGAGGCAAGACCCCCGCCCACAACUAAAGAAGAGAGGAGGUAAUCGGAAGACUACAAAUCAUAAACGAAAGGCCUUAUCACAGGUGGGUAAGUCACUCCAUUACGGAUUCUGAUUCUUGUGUUGGUUCUUGUGUUCCCUAUGCCGAUGGGGUUGGUGGAUCUGAGCCCCUAGGAACAUUCCCCGCUGCGUAUCCAGCUAAUUCUAUAGUUCAAAAGGAGUCAUUCUUCUGUUUGCAUUGCCUAUACGCCCAGGUGCUUUGUCUCGCCCGUUCCUCUACUAUACUAGGAUUAGAUGCGUUUGUGUCUCACCUCUCCUCUACUAGAUGUGUGUGUGUCUCGCGUGUGUGGGUGUGUUUUUCAUAUGUCUCUAAUGUAAGAUGCGGUCACACUCCUUGGGUGCGCGCUCGGUGCCAUUGCAGAAUCAUUGGUGCAAAAGCAAAGUCAAGUAAUAAGUAAGUCAAGUAUAUAAUAGAAGAAAUAAUGGAUUACUAUAUUAUAAGAGAAUAGAAGAGAGUUGGCACUGCGUAAGCUAUCUUCUGCAUUGAAUUCAAUUAGUAAAGGUAAGGCUAGAUAUAUGCGCUAUAAGACAUUGAGUGGUAAAUAUCGGAAUUGGCAGCUGCCUAACAGACUGUAGCUACCGACUAACAAGAAUGUCCUUAAUUAGAACUACCUUUUCUCUUAUUCUUAUAGUUUGACCUGGUAUUCCUAUUGGUACUCGCUUGGCUUUCAGCACCUCGGUUUCAAACUCAAACUUGCGCUUCUGGUACUUUCGCUGGGAACUUAGCCCUUAUUUACCUAUAUGUUAGUCUGACAUUCCCGCCUAAAAGUAUGUAUUGAUGGGUUUAGUACCCUUCUAUUGGUCUGGCAUUCCUCCCCUUAUCUCGAGCUUAAGCCAUCGGCAGCUGACGCUGCCCUUGAUCUGAGUACAUAUCGUAUGGUAAAUCAGAAUUCGACUAAGUAGUAACAGAGUUAGCCUCACGCAUAGGCAUUGAAGGCAGGAAGUUUGUUUGAGUUGGUAGCCAAAGAUAGAUGAGAAAUCAUAAAGCCCGGGCGGGGGUCCGACGAUUGCCCCCGGAAGGAUUACGUCCCUGGCUUGAAGGACUAUAGCACAGAAAAUGGUACUGAGCAUGGUAGAUAGCUUCCUACCAUUACACUUGAGAAAGCCAGUAACAAGAUCGAGUAUGGGUAGCGCUUUAACAUAACGUCUUUUCUUUCUUCACCACGACCCAGCUUCUAUUGAAUAAGCGUAAGGAGAUGUCGAUGAUGAAUAAGCGUAGUAAGGAGAUGUUGAUGAGGGGAUAAAAGAAUGAGCUUUGGUUCAGAGCUUGAAUCAGUAUAUCCUGAAGUAACUCCAGGUAAGGAGUUCAGCUAAGCCGGAAAGAAAGAUCGAGUUUAGUCUCUGGAUUGAAAGAAGCAAGUCACAGACUAAUAGCCGGGAAGACAGAGUGGAAAGGCGGGAUAGUGAGUUUGAAGCUAGAUCAGUGCCCGGUGUGUUAUAGAAUGCAAAUAAGUAGUUGGUUUCCGAGUGACUUGUCUGGUCUCGUACGCUAAUCAAAAUAGCUCCAAGUGGUCUAGUACGUAAAUGGAAAUAGUAUCGACUGACUCAAAGAGUGGAGCGGCGCCUCGACCAGUUGACCAAACUUAUCCGAUUAUUCUUUUGCUGUAUAGUAUAACUUCUUUCUAUUUGCUUUUGGAAAUCCGGUGAAAAACAUAGAAAUAUGGCGAUGCGUAACACAUGGUUUAUUUCAACAUGGAUUGAACCCAUAGAUAGUAUGUUGUGUGCCGGGCCGGUGACUCAUUCUUGUCGUAUAACCAUUCAUUCCUCGAGUAGUUAAGCGCACUCUUAAAGUGACAUCAAUUAGUCUGUUAGCGGACCACGCUCGUUGAUACCCAAGUCAACCAUAUUAUAAGUAUUCGUAGUCAGAGGGUAAUUGUGCAUUCUACUAUUAUAAUAAUCGAAUAGAUGAGUGACAAAGCACAUUCUCAAUAUAAGUAGGAAAAGACAGGUUAAGCCUAGAGAAGAGAGUAGAGUAGUGUGGAGGAACUGAGCAUACGAUAGAAUCACGCGCAUUAAGGGCUACUUCUGCUAGGCAAUCAUUUUCUAUUCUCAUUCAUUUGUUUAUACAAACAACCUAGGCCAACUUUUCAAUCGGAAAGAGAAAUGCUCUUCUUAUAGCCGACCCAUAACGCCUUAAAUGAGAGGGCGGCCUUCUUAUGUUCCUUAUUCCAACUAGAAAGUCACCCAAUAAGUAAGCCGAAUCGAAUGAAUACCCACGGAACGGAGUAGUGUUUGGAAGACAAUAAUAUAGUACUGGCAAUUAGUCAUAAGCAGGAUCUGGAUACGGGUCAUCAGAGGGAUCUUAAGCGGGAGAGUCAAUAAAGGUGGUCUCAGUUUCAAGAUCCUAAGCAGUACGGUAUCAAGCAGUUGGCGCAGCAGCAACUCAAUUAUGAACUUAAGGUGGUGUUCGAGCAAGGAUCUUUGCUUUGUGGUUGGGAGUGAGUGUUUAGGCGGGGGGCUCUCUAAGAAUGAAUGAUGUAAGUGCUCCUUCGUUCAUAGCACGGAGUGAGAUGUCUAUGUGCCCACCUGAACCUACGUACGUGUCAAUCAAGCAAGGCCAUUUUGCUUUUUGCCUAUGAUGCCAUGCCUGCUCUGACUUGCUCUAACUCUCGUAGCUAGUUCUUCAAUGCCCAUAUUUUGUAACUCAAUGCCAACCAAUACUGAUAACAAGGCUACUAAGGCUACUGGAAAGAAUGCAACAAAGGCAUACAAGAACGAAACUAGGAACAAAGGAGAUCUAACUAUACUGUUAACAAGGCUCGCACUGCGGACUAAAAGCUAUAUGACUCAUAAUAGGGAAUCGACAUGGGAAAGCUGGACUCCAACUCAUAAGUCAGAAUCCAUCUACUAUGCCAUCAGAACCAAUCUCGAAAGAAAGAAAAAACCUAGUCAAACAGAGGGCUCUAACGGGCUUAACCUCACAACUAAGGCUUUAGCUGCUACUUCUCAUUCUUGAGACCUAAAGAACUAUUCCAACUUUGUGGGCUUACCUUCAUUCUAGACCGAUGAACUUAGCUACUACUAUGGAAUACUACCUUAUAGACGGGAAUUCCAUCGCUGCUAAUGGGAAUGGGGCUACUAGCUAUCAUAUUGAAACGCUAUCGCCUCUAACUCUUUCGAACUCUGUCGCUCCUUUCUCUCAGUAUAGUAUGCUUGUCACCUGUUUGGGCGCUAUGCUUAUUCCUAUUAUUCUCUUACAACUACUUGCUCC
rnacentral:lncRNA from 1 species